rnacentral:rRNA from 1 species
UGUGCAGGCGGUUGUUUAAGUUCGGUGUGAAAUCUCCCGGCUCAACUGGGAGGGUGCGCCGAAUACUGAAUGACUAGAGUGCGGGAGAGGAAAGUGGAAUUCCUGGUGUAGCGGUGAAAUGCGUAGAUAUCAGGAGGAACACCGGUGGUGUAGGCGGCUUUCUGGACCGUAACUGACGCUGAGACACGAAAGCGUGGGUAGCAAACAGGAUUAGAUACCCUGGUAGUCCACGCCCUAAACGAUGCAUAUUUGGUGUGGGUCAUUCAGUUGAUCCGUGCCGGAGCUAACGCGUUAAAUAUGCCGCCUGGGGAGUACAGUCGCAAGGCUAGAA